UGGAAGAUGGAUUUUCUGAACUUGAUGAAACACUUCCAAGCACUAGUCCACUCGAAGAUAGUAAGGCAGCUGAUGAUAGUGAAGAGGAACUAACCUGUGGAUCAGAAAUCGAUGAUGACGACGACGUUGAUGAUGGGACUCAAAAUGAACUGGAUUUACCAGAGGUAGAAACUGAACUUGCUGAAAAGAUAUCAACAAAAAGGGCUUCUUCAGAGCUAUUCAAUGCUAUUUUGGGUGCUCCUGGUUUAUCUGUUCCUAUUGUACUUGAUAAGUGGGUCAGUGAAGGAAAAGAAAUA
rnacentral:misc_RNA from 1 species